UACGGAGGGUGCAAGCGUUAAUCGGAAUUACUGGGCGUAAAGCGCGCGUAGGCGGCUGAUUAAGUCGGAUGUGAAAUCCCCGGGCUCAACCUGGGAACUGCAUACGAUACUGGUUGGCUAGAGUAUGAGAGAGGGAGGUAGAAUUCCACGUGUAGCGGUGAAAUGCGUAGAUAUGUGGAGGAAUACCAGUGGUGAAGGUGGUCUUUUGGCUCAAUACUGACGCUGAGGUGCGAAAGCGUGGGGAUCAAACAGG
rnacentral:rRNA from 1 species